UCUUACGGAUGAACAAAGGAAGUGCCUUCUUGACAUGGGAUCUACUCCUGGUGAAGAUGCUGUGAA
rnacentral:pre_miRNA from 1 species